GUGUUCCGCGGGUAGGCGAGGUCCUAGUAGUAACUACAGUCUCCGUGCUGGGCGCAGGGUCGGCAGCAAAGAAAGCAGAUCAUAGCUGUGCCCGCAUGGAGCUUACUUGAUAUUAUGAGCGAUAAACAGAUACAAGCGGGAUGUAAAGUCAGAAUAUGAGCGGUGUUUGAAGGUGAGGGGCAGGUGUCGCGGAAGCCUAGAAUAGAAAUCUAGCCUUGUGGAAAGUUUUCCCAGAGGAAGGGGGUAUUUGAGCUGAGCUGAAGAAAGGGUUCAGGCAGAGGGAAACAUCUGCAGAAGCCUAAUAAAGAGAGAAGAGUAUUGCAUGUAAGGGACUGAAAUAUACUGAGGCGGGAGGGCAACAGGACUGGUGGUUAGGAAGGGCUAGAUCACGUGAGCGGUUUAAAACAUCGCAGCCUGAACCAUUGCCCAUCACUCCUCCCAGUCUUUUUCUCUAAUGCCCUUCUUAUCGACUGAAUUGUUUUUUUAAAUAGUGUGUAUUUUCUCAUUUCCUCUCACUAAAAUAUAAGCUCUUUUAAGGCAGAGAUAUUGUCUAUUCAUUCCCA
rnacentral:lncRNA from 1 species